UACGAAGGGGGCUAGCGUUGUUCGGAAUCACUGGGCGUAAAGCGCACGCAGGCGGAUUGAUAAGUCAGGGGUGAAAUCCCGGGGCUCAACCUCGGAAUUGCCUUUGAUACUGUCUGUCUUGAGUCCGGGAGAGGUGAGUGGAAUUCCUAGUGUAGAGGUGAAAUUCGUAGAUAUUAGGAAGAACACCAGUGGCGAAGGCGGCUCACUGGCCCUGUACUGACGCUCAUGUGCGAAAGCGUGGGGAGCAAACAGG
rnacentral:rRNA from 1 species